AGACCUACACAAUAGAUUUUUUCUCUCUCUCGCUCGCUCGCUCGCUCUCUGCAGCUCUUUGUUCCAAGGAGCCGAAAAACUUCACAGAAGAAGGCAUUGGCAAUGCAAUUGUGGUGUGAAUGCCAGUGCCGAAAAGAAAUGAAAAGAAUCUGGGCAUGUCUACAAAGUUAGCAAAAGUAGAACUCGACUGGACCCGAAGCAGAGGGCGUUGCUCAAGCGAAGUAGAAACCCAGUAGUAACAAAAGAUGGAAUAAUAUCACAGUGCUUCAGAAGCAAUUGUGACACACUAGGGAAGUAAAAAUGAGCUGAUCUGGAAAUCUCUUCUACUUUUCUAUAGGAUCCUAUCCCUUUAACCUGAAGCAAAUGCCAAAAGCAGCAUAGAAUGUGUAACCUUUGACCUGAAAACAAGAAACAUGCUUUGUCGUACAACUGAGAAAAUAAUGACAAAUGAACAGAUAAAAACACUGCAUAUCAAGAACUCAUUUCUAUGGCUUCAAUUUUUCAGUAACCACCAAAUGUAUAAUCAUCUGAAGCGGAAGAAGCAGAAAAAUUCUACUGAACAGCUAGUAACGUACACUGAUGCAUUUGCAAAGCUGAUUGUAUGAUGGUAAAAAAAAAAAAAGGCAGGAUUUUUGUAGAACAGAAUUUGUUGCCAGAUGUACUGCAUUAAAAUUCCUGCAGUCACGAGUUAAGAUAAACUUUAGAAGUCAAGAUGGACAAGGCUGUUAUAAAACAACACAACUUGGGAGACUAGUCUCCCUAUCUGUUCUGUUAAAGGUUCAAACUUACUUUUAAAUCACAUACACUGCAUACAGAAAAGCCCUUCCACAGGAUAAAGAUUUAUUACAGGCUUUUAUUAUUUAUUUAUAGUUUCUAUAGUUCAUUUUUCCACAUAUAUAAUUCACUUUUGAAAAUUCCUCUCAUGCAUUGAAAAUUUUUUCUUUAUUUUAAAGGACUCAAAUUUGUAGUACAUUUAUAAAGAUAAAGGGUUUUUUUAUUAAAAGUCUUGUUUCCUUAGAAGCAAUCUGAAAAUGUGCUAAAAUUAAGACUAGAGGAUUUCCAUUCAUAAGGGUUUCUCCUCAUGUGAUAAUGGAACGAGCAGUCACUUCCGUAUUUUACCGUGUCCUUCCACAACAUAAAACUAAAGCAACAAGUCGCAGGAACUCCUUAAUGCAUCAAGUACUUCUUAGCCAUGUAUUAUUACUGAGGCCUUCAAUAGUACUCAGCCCCCAUUGGGAUAGCAGCUCAAAUACAAUCUGCUUUUGUGGAAUUCAUUAAUGUAAGUUAAGCAGGCAAAUUAUUUGGAUCAAGAUCAAAAAAGUUGCUUUAGACAUAAUUGUGCACUGGCACACCUCCAGAAAUAGCUUCUCUCAACAGCUGACUCUCAAGUCGUAUCAAAGCUCCAGGUGCAUAGAGCCCAACAUGAUCUGAACCAUGAUUCCACUCUAGAAAGACAUUCACUGAAUCUUUCUGGGUGAAGCAGGGGAAAAAAGCUGAAGUUCUUUAGCAAGAGAUUGAUUAAAAGGUGAUGUUGAACACCACUAUCAAUCUCCUUCCCAAAUAAUUUUUUCAACAAACCAAGAUGUACUAAUUUUCAAUCCACUGUAAAUUUGGGAGGCAAGAGACUGGUUAUAUCUAUUAAAAAUAGUAAAAUGGGGAAAAUGUAGGUCUUUGUUAACAGAGGAAAAGGAAAAAAAAA